GUUUAGUGUUGAUAACGCAGCUGUGUGUAAAGGUUUAGUGUUGAUAAUGCAGCUGUGUGUAAAGGUUUAGUGUUGAUAACGCAGCUGUGUGUAAAGGUUUAGUGUUGAUAAUGCAGCUGUGUGUAAAGGUUUAGUGUUGAUAAUGCAGCUGUGUGUAAAGUUUUAGUGUUGAUAAUGCAGCUGUGUGUAAAGUUUUAGUGUUGAUAAUGCAGCUGUGUGUAAAGUUUUAGUGUUGAUAAUGCAGCUGUGUGUAAAGUUUUAGUGUUGAUAAUGCAGCUGUGUGUAAAGUUUUAGUGUUGAUAAUGCAGCUGUGUGUAAAGAUUUAGUGUUGGUAAUGCAGCUGUGUGUAAAGUUUUAGUGUUGAUAAUGCAGCUGUGUGUAAAGUUUUAGUGUUGAUAAUGCAGCUGUGUGUAAAGUUUUAGUGUUGAUAAUGCAGCUGUGUGUAAAGGUUUAGUGAUUAUAAUGCGGCUGUGU